rnacentral:rRNA from 1 species
UCUUCCGCGAUGGACGAAAGUCUGACGGAGCAACGCCGCGUGAGUGAUGAAGGUUUUCGGAUCGUAAAACUCUGUUGUUAGGGAAGAACAAGUACCGUUCGAAUAGGGCGGCGCCUUGACGGUACCUAACCAGAAAGCACCGGCUAACGACGUGCCAGCAGCCGCGGUAAUACGUAGGUGGCAAGCGUUGUCCGGAAUUGUUGGGAGUAAAGCGCGCGCAGGCGGUUUCUUAAGUCUGAUGUGAAAGCCCCCGGCUCAACCGGGGAGGGUCAUUGGAAACUGGGGAACUUGAGUGCAGAAGAGGAGAGUGGAAUUCCACGUGUAGCGGUGAAAUGCGUAGAGAUGUGGAGGAACACCAGUGGCGAAGGCGACUCUCUGGUCUGUAACUGACGCUGAGGCGCGAAAGCGCGGGGAGCGAACAG